rnacentral:rRNA from 1 species
UCCGUAGGUGAACUGCGGAAGGAUCAUUAU